UAUUAGCAUGCCGGCUAUAUAGCCAUGAUGCCAAGCUAACCGUGCAGCUAAUACCACCAUCCAACACAAGGCUGUCACUGGUAUCCCAAGUGUGGGAAAAGUUACAAAUGUCAUUUCACUGACCACGUUAAAUAUAUUUUUGCGACCACAACCAACAUAGAUGGUGGAUUAUCUGCACUGAUCACAGACCAGUCAGGCAAUAUUAGGUUUAAACGGCUUCCAUUUCCAUAACAAUGCAACAUACACUAAUGACUCUAAGCCUGUAAUUUUUUUACAUUGCAGCUUUAAGUCUGUAAAAGCAUCUGUGCACCGAUAUCAAAUAGGAGGUCCUCUUGCCUCCAGGAUGCGUCGCUGCUCAGCGUUGAAGAGGUAGGGGAGUAAAUAUGUCAGUUUAUCGUUAACGUGAUUGCACACACGUCAUGCACCCACCUUUAUCUUCUUCUAGUGUGAGAUGGCUGGAGAUAAAAUGAAGGUUAUCGUAUCACAAAGUCCAGGUUCAUGUGAAGGAAAGCUGUUGUGUGUGUCUUUUGUCUCCCCCUCUCUCUACAGUUAGUAAGUGUAUGUGUUGCUGGCGCCACUGGCGCCAACGUUGGACCGCCGACGCACUUUAGCAAAGGCAGAGUGUUGUGUUUCCACGCGCGACUAUUGUCACUACCGCCCCCUGCCGCAUGGGAGCCGCACAAUACGGCACAAACAUGUUGCUUUGCUCACGUGCCUCGGAGUCUUUCAAGUUGAUGUCAAAAACAAGCAACCUGCUUCUUUGAUGUCACCGACCAGUCGCCGUCCCGUGACCAGAAGUGAGCUUUGACGACAAGCCAACAUAAUGUCGUGGGGACAGCAGCCUAAGCCGGGAAACGCACACUGCCCUCUCCCUGGCUACUUCGUACAGCUCCUCCCGGUGGAUCCCGAGGCAUCCUGACCACAUGACCGAGCCACCUCAUCUGACUCCUCUGAAUGCUUCUCACCUUUUCUCUAUGGGAGAGCGCAGCCGUUUUACAGGCGAUCUUGUCCUUUCGGUCUACCCAAAACUCAUGACCAUAGGUGAGUGUAGGAAUGUAGAUUGACGAUAAAUUGAGAGGUUUGUGUUUCGGAGAAGCCGGAGUACCCACGCACACAAGGGGAGAACAUGCAAAAUCACAGAGAUGUCAAACCCAGAUCUUCCAGACCUCCUCAGUGGCCAACAUGCUAACCACUAGGCCACAAUGCGGCCAUGCUCAAAGAUACUAACAGAAAUGUAAGUCAGGCGUGUCUGUGAUGACGUAUUAGAACAUUCAACAUUGGUGUGCUUCAAUCAUUAUCAUUGAAUGUAUACAUGAAUGGAAAUUGUUGAUCUUGUUACACAGAUUGCUUGUGUGUGUGGACGCACUACGACAUGUGAAUAGCAACACCCGUGACAGCCAUGAAUGUGUUAUUUUAUUCAGGCCGAACAAAAAUUUACAACAAUUUGUAAUGCAUUUUAACAAGUAAUGUGAUGUGAAGAAAUAUACAUUUUUUCAUACAAUCUGUUCUUUUAAACCACUAUUGAUAACAUGUUAGCUGGUGGUGGUGUUCAUGUUCUGGUUGAAAAAAAAAAAAAGUCUUCAGCCAGUUGCAGUCCCUUUCGGGGAAUUUUUUUGUGUCACUAUCACUGUGCAAAUAGAACAUUUUUGGGGGGAAAUAAUUUUUCCAGUAAUAUUGUGUUACUUUAAUUCCUACAAACUUUGAUGAAAAUUGCAGAACAUCCAUUCCAGAUCACUAUUCCAGACAUCAAAGCCACUCCGUAUUUGCUCUCAUUAUAAACCAUACAUUUUCCUGGCUUUUAAAAAGGCAGCGGUGCUCAAACUUUUUCCACCAACGGCCGCAUACUGAAAAAUCAAAGUAAGUUUUCUUGUUUAAUUUCAUUUUUAGAAUGUGCCAAGGGCCAAAAAAACAAAAAAAA